UUUAUCUCCACUCCAUAAUUUACUCCAAAAAUGGAGUGAGAAAUGGAGUAUGAACAAAAAAUAAAAAAUCUUUCUAUUUAUGGAGUAAUCACUUUUUUGUUUCUUCACUACUUCAUUUUUCACUCCAUUUUGCAGUAAAUUAUGGAGUGGAGAUGAAAAUGCUCUUAGUAACCUUCCACUUGGGGUUCGCUCAGAGUUAGGAGAGACUAUUUUUUUUUUUUUUGUCAUCUGGUAGAUUAAGAUUAGAUCAAACAUCAUUUUACAUCAAGACGCUAGAGACAUUACCUACCCUUCCAGAGCCAAGAGCCAGCGAGGUAACAUGUACCACCCGGAGCCAAAAGAUGGAUACAACACAAACCCAUAAAACUAACAAAGACACGAAGAAAAAAGAUGUCGAGAAGCAGGAGAGUAAAACAGAACUUCAGGAGAGGAGUGCUCCACUUUGCGCUCAAAGACGAGCUUACCGAAAUAGAACUCAUCAACAGUUAACACAAACUGAGAGGAGCAGCGAGAUAGACUAGACGCACACGAACAUCACCAAACGUAUAAACUGAAUCGAGAGAGGUUAGAAUCCUUAACCGUCGCUGUAAACACCCUUUAAUCCCAACUAAGUCUCGCCAUUGGACCUUGAGUGUGCUCUCCCCGCGCCUCAUACGCACCAUCACCCCACGGCGAAGCCUAAAAAAGCUUCCCGGAAACGUCUUAUUCACACAGGAGAGACUAUUUAUAUAUCUUGUUAUUUUUAUAAUAUUUUAUUCUAAUAAAUUUUAUGCUAUUGAGGAGAAUGAUCGCAUUAACCUAUAAGAACAACUCUAUUGUAAAAUUCUAAUUAAAUAUCUCAAAACAGUAAUAUAAUUAUUAGUUGAAUAUUUGAAUAUUUGAAACUUCCAGUCUAAUAAUGAAGGCUGAAGUUUUCAAAUGUUGAUAUACCUAGUCAAUAUUUUUUUAAUACUCAACCAAAACCUUAACAGUUAUAAUAAAACUUUUCUAAAUUUUUACCUAUCAUAAUAGAAGUUGCAUAUUUUCAAUGUGUAAUUUUCUAAAGUUGAAUCGUACUUAUAAAAAAUUAAAUGUAUUUUUUAUUUACAUAAUAAUUUUCUGACGAUAAAUUUUUAACUUAGGUUUGCAUAUCUAAUCUAUUAAUAAACAUUUUUGUAACAACAUUUAACAACAUAUAGAUACAUAAACGUAUUUUGAUAAAAAAAAUGAUACAUAAACGUAUCAGGUUAAAAUGAUCUUUAUUAAUCUAUGCAUUUGGAUAUGGAAUAUACAGACUAAAUCAGUGACACUCACUAAAUAUAUAUAUAAUAUAUUUAUAUUUUUUCACCAAAAAUUGUAGUCUACAACAUACAAAGUAUGAUAUUUUUCUUUUUGAAUUAGUAUUUUAAUGACUCAUAUGAAUCGUUUGCUAGUCAAAAUAUUAACCUUAAUAUUUACUUUAAAACAUACCUAUAAUCAAAAAGAAAUAAAAAUAUUUUUAAAUUUAAUUAAAACAAUAUAACGUGAAUCCAUUUGGUAAUUUAAUGGAAUGCUCAGUUAAUAAAAAAUGCAAGACAUACAAACUCAUAAUCCUAACUAACAACAUGCAGACAUAUCAUAAUUGUCAAAUAAAAUGAAUUCCAAAUUUAAAACUGUAGUAACACUUAUAACAAUAUGUUUUCAUAUAAUUUUAGAAAAUUUUAAAUCGAAAUAAAAGUCUGUAUUUAACGCGGAUCAUAAUCUAAUCUAGUUCUAUUAUAAGAUUAGGCUUCAUAACUCGGGUGUAAAAAAAUUGUAAACACUCUUCAUAUCAAUUCAUCAGUCCAUUAAACCGUAUAGAGUAACAACGACCCCUGCAUCUAAUCAGAUUUAGAACCAAGCCGUUAUAUACUUAUUAACUAACUCACUGUAUGUUUAAGCUACAUUUUGUAUCUUUUUGCUGAGAAGGAUGCUAUCAAUAUCAGACAAAAACGUUUUUUUUUUUAAAAAAAAAAAUAUCAGACAAAAACGUCAAUGAAUAGGGAAAUCAAACAAGCAAUUAACAAAUAAAUUUUUAUUAGAAACAAGAAUAUGAGACUUAUUUUGCUGUACUUUUGUAAAAUAGAAUUAUUUAACUGCCUAUUCACAUUUUUAUUUUACUCCUAAAUAAUUUUCUGCAUCUAGCAUUUAAAUCACUUCAGGUUCAGGAUAUUAUAGUUCUUUGGCUAACAAUGUAUUACGUAUUUCGCACCGCUGAACUGUGCUAUUUAAUUGCCUAUUCACAUUAUUAUUUCGCAUCUAGCAUUUAAAUCACUUCAGGAUAUCAUAUUUUACUUUGGCUAACGAUAUAAUCAUAUAAUACGUUUUUCGCACCGCUGAACUAUAAUAUUAAAUACCCUGUUUUUCUGUAGUAAUAGUAUCAACUUGGAAAAAGAGAGAAUUUUUUUUUGUUUCAAGCCGAUGACCGGAGAUUUCUAUAGUUCUGAUAUCGGCUUGUUUGAUUCAUUUUACUUUUUUUUUCUUUGAUUUGUUUUAAUUUCUAUCAUUUAAUGUGUUUGAUUGCCAAUUUAUUUUAAAUUUGGUAAAACGUUUUAUUAUUAUUUUGUAUGUUUUUCCAAUAGAUUUGGUAAGACAAAAACUUCGGUUCAAUUGAACCGUUUAGAAAAUUUAGUUGACAGAUCUAUCGUGGGUGGUGGCGAUGGAUUUCUUCAAUCGUUGAUGGUUCUUUAUUUGAGUGUGAUGGAGUUCUUGCUACAAAUUAUGGUUACUUCGAAAGACAACAUGAAAUUUUAUGAAAUGGUAAUCUCUUUGACUCUAUUUUCUUUCAAUAGAGCAAUAUAAAAAGUUGUUUUCUCUCAGUGACUCUUAUUGAAAUAUUAAAAAAGAGCGGCAAUCGUUCUCAAUUCAGAUUGAACAUGGUGUUUUGGAUUAAUAUAAAUAUUAUCUCUCAUGAAAUUCAAUUAUUUCAAAAGCAAAUAUGGAGCUUUUAUAUGAAAAAUCUUUAAUCAUCCACACAAAAGAUAGAUGUGUGUUAGUUUACUUUAAAUCUCUACUGGUGUAUAUAUUUAUUUUGCUAGUUUUCAUUUUUCAUUGUUUAAAAUUUUUUGGGUAAAAAGUUUAAUAAUACACGACAAAAAAAAUAAUAAUAGUAUCAACUAUGACUUAAAAGAGUUACAUUUUCGUCCAACGACCACCUAUACAUGUAAUGAAAAAGGAUUAAUUUAAUUGUUACCCAACUAACAAUAUUGUUUGCUGUACUAUUCUAAGCCGACGUCUUAUUGACAGUAGAUGGUUGGAACCCAACAUGUUCUCUGACAAUAAAUUCAUUAUUUGCUUAAAUUCGAAACCACUAACUAUAUUAGUUAAAUGAAUAGAUUAGACUUUUAGAGUUAUUAAUAUUCCUUAUAAGUUUAUGGUCGUGUUCUUACUCCAUUUUUUUCCUGGACGGGUGACCUAACUCCUUGAACUUGAGUUUUCAAUCGCGAGAUAAAAAAAGAAAUAUACAGUUAUAUUUUACGUAAAUAUGUAUGGACUAUGACAAAAUGCUAGAUGUGAGUAAUUGAGUUACGUUACAGAAGAGACUUGGCGACCUCUCUCGACCCACGUUUUGGUCCCCGAAAUUAAUCUUUUGGCCCUAUAUAAAAUCUUUUUCUGAGUCCAUUUCUGGAUCGAAAUUGGGAAGGCCUUCAACGAUCAUGUGAGAUACGCAUUCACUAAAAACAUUACCUAACUAGCUAGUUAAAUAAUUGAACGAAAGCACUAGAUGAUUAGUUUCCUGAUAUUUGAUGUUUUAUAUAACGUAUAUGUAUUUCAUUAAAAUAAACAAAAUAGAUAGACAGAAGAAAGAUCCAGUAAACAUGCUUGGAUAAAGUAAUGAGAACAUAUAAAUAGUUUAAUCAAUUAAUUUUGUUGUUAUCGAAACGUGGAAUGUAUAAAUAUUUUAUAGUACGUGAUUACUCAAUCAUGCAUCCUUCAGCACCAGCAUCUGUAUAUACGGCCUAAACCUAAGCACUGAUUAAUAUGUACAAAAGAAACGUCAAAGCCUGUAUAAUAAGCAAAUAAAACAUGUUGCUAGUUAUUAUAAUUAUGAUAUCUAAAUUUUAAUUUCCAAAAAUAUAUAAAUUAAUUUUCAAAUAAUUUUAGUUAUCUUUUCUACGGAUUACAAUAGGCGCUAAACGUAAAUAUUCGGAAUACAAUUUUCAGUUAUGUAGGUUUUUUGGUCAAAAAAAGUAUUACAAAUUUUCUAAGGUUGGAUAGCACAAAGCGGUAUGAAACAUGUGAUUGUUAACCGAAAGCUCGUAGCUUGAUGGUAAAGUGUUCACGGCUGUGAGUUUUGACACCUAUGUUAAUUAAAUAUGUGAUUGUUGUAGUCAAUUAUUGCUGGUUAAAUAGGCUGCGAUUUUGGACUUUUUAGUUAACAAAAUUCUGUGUACAUACAGACAGAUUAAUGUAAUGGCUGUGUGGGUUGUCUUUGAAACAGUGGCUAGUUGAUACAUACAAUACCCCCAGAUACUUUUAAUGGUGUUUAUUACCCUUUUUUCUCUUCUUCUUGCUGGAUUCUUCGUCUACCACCGCAAUAUCUGCUUAACUAACAAAAAAACUAUUGAGACAUUAAGUGGAGAGAAUAAAUGGAGAGGACAAUUUGGAGAAGAAGAUGGGCGAAGCAAAGGCAAGUGCUGCUACUCUCAAUGCAGUCAUGACCAACACGGAGCUGGAACUUUAAGUAAAUGGAGAGGACUUUGAUCCGAGGCCAUCACUGCCAAGCGGAAUAUAUAUGAUAAAGAAAAUACAGGAAGAUUUCCGAAAUUGUUUUUCCAUUAAUCAUUAUCUUCAAGACAAGCUUUCCGGAAACCAUAUAUAAAACUGAAUAGCUUUAGUCUUUAUGUAGUGAAAUAGGUUCCAGUUCAAAAACGUUUUUUUUUUACACA